AGUUCGUGGAGUGAUCUGUCUGCUUAAUUGCGUUUCACAAAGGACUUUCUAACUUCCGUUAGUUGCACGGUGGCCUCCGUGUCGCCUGUUGCACUGCGGAGAAAAAGUCCUGAAGGCAACGAACGUGACCGCAACCUCUUGUUGCCUCCUUUUUUAUAAAACAUGAACAGUUGUUUGUGGCUUCGGUCACCUGCUGUUCUGCACGGAGUUUUUGCAAACUAGAGGGACCGCUGACAACUUUUAAAACAGAGGAAGGUUGCGGCAAUAACAGGU
rnacentral:rRNA from 1 species